rfam:Canis lupus familiaris chromosome 14, whole genome shotgun sequence.
GUACUCACUUAAGCAGCACAUAUGCUAAAAUUGGAAUGAUACAGAGAUUAACAUGUCCCCUGCACAAAGAUGACAUACAAAUCUGUGAAGCGUUCCAAAUGUUU